GCGGAACAGCCCUGCGACGAACUCACCCGGGUCACGGCGGAACAGCCCUGCGACGAAGUCAUCCGGGUCACGGCGGAACAGCCCUGCGACGAAGUCACCCGGGUCACAGCGGAACAGCCCUGCGACGAAGUCACCUGGGUGGGAGUCCUGACCUCGCUUCCUCCAUGGAGACACCAGGGCAUCCUGCGGCUGGAAUGGUGAAAAGGUUUUGAGUCCCAUGCCUGGUUCCAGGCAAGUUCUCGGUAGAAAGCGAGGUCAGGAGGCUGCUGGUGAGGCCCACGGCCUGAAAGAAUGUCUGGCACGUGGCCUUUCCUGGGAAAGCUGCAGAUUUACAUCCUAAGGGCAAGAAAAGAAAACAUCAAGAGACAGAGAAGCAGAGGGUUACAGGUCGCUAAGCUGCACUGAGAAUGAAGACUUUCAUUCAUCUUACUUGAAGCUGGGGACUAGGAGAAUGAAGGUCUGUAAUUGCACCCUCUUCUAUCAGGCCCUUUUUAGAAUGUGACUGGAUUAUGUCCUUUCCGUUUCUCAUGGGGAAGGAGUCAGCGAAGUGAUUGGGAUGAUAAUAUUGCAUCUUUCAUUGGAACACCCAGUGCCAGAGAAAAGUUUGAGGACCACUGAUCCAAAGCAUGCCUGUCAGUGCCAGAGAGAUGACCCCAGCAGACGAACCUUUUAGCCCAUUCCCAAGCUUCAUGUCCUGCCUUGAAGUCCACUCUGGCCUGGAGCCCUUGGAGAGGGCAUAGUUUACUGAGAGGGAGAAGGAAGGAGACCACAGACAUUCUUGGCAUCACUGGCUACCACCCCUGCCUUGCACCUCUGGACGUACAUUUCUGGGCCUGGAUGGCAAGCCCCCUCCACCUGCACGAUACCUCUGCCUUCAGCCUGAGCUCCCAUGACCUCAUGUGGCUGCCAUGAAGAGUGAGACAAUCAUAAGAGUCAGCAAAAGCUAUGAAGGAAAUAAAAGGCAUACAGCCUCGAGGUGAGGCAGAGGCUGAUGGUGCAGGAAGGGUAGAAGCCAGUAAAGAAUGGGGUGUAGCCCUGGGUGGAUGGGGGUCCAAGGUGGCACCAAGACCUCCGCCUCCAGAGCUCCUGGGAGCCUUUUGUCCCUCUCUCUCCAGUGUCCCAUGCAAUUGACUUUCUUAGAGAGGGACUCCUCUCUCGGGGCCCAGGAACACAAGAGCUCAUGUAAGUUUGUGGGGUGUGGGAUAGGUUAUGCCCACCCCACCCCAUUGAUCAGAACCAUUUACGUGGUCAUGACCCAAGUCAGUGGGGUCCGCCUACAAGGAAGCAGGGGGUGAGUCAUCCCAAACAACAAUGUCAUCUGCUGCAAACCUGUCUUGAACAACUUGGUCAUUUUGGGAAUCAUUUCAGUUACAUUUAAAAGAAUCAGCAUGGCUCAUCUACACUUCCUUCCCUGUCCAAAGAUGCAGUUCCUUCCAGUGAAUGGUAUACACUAGCUAACUGUUGUUGCCUAAAUAUAUGAGAAAGCUAGUUUUAGCACCCAAUAUUCUUAGUGAGUUCUCUUGCUUUGCCCAGAUUCUUUCUCAAUUAUAACGCAUUAUUUGAUAGUGAUUGAGGGAUGAGAGGAGCAAGGUCAGUAAACCAAAGCCAUCAUUAUCCCUGCCACCCCAUUCAUAACACCCCCAAUUACACAUUUCUAUCCACACCGCACCCUUCACACAAGUAUGCGUCCAGCUGGGAAAUACUUGGUGCCUGAGGGGUUUAUGGCUCCUUGAUUGAUUAUUAAAGCAGGCUUCCUUCGGGAGGGAGGCCUGGACAUCAUCCCGGCCAGGAUGAGUGAGCCUCUGUUUUUAUUUGUAAAGUGGGAAAAUGGCUGUCGGGCUUGGCUUGCUGCAGGCAAAUGCCUUUUAGUCUGAAGGCCUCUGCUCUGAGUCCUUCUGUCCUCACGGAGGAGCAAGGUCCGUCAUGGGUGUGAGCCAGGCUCUAGGGAGAGGGACCACGCCUGCCACCUGCUGCCUGGAGGAGAGGAUGGGUCAGCUCCUGUCCCUGCCCUUGCCAGCUCCUGGCCAUUGCCUUCCAGCCUGUGGUUAUCCAGAGGCCUCGCUGGCCUCUGCAGCCUGGGCCCUGAGCCCUGACUGUCUUUCCUGCAGAUACCUGCCUGCUAGAAAACUGGGGCCCUUUUCUAGGUUCAGCUUUAAUAGGUUGGACAAUUGGCCCACAUCACAUGGACCAUUCUGACCACAUUAGGGAGGGGAGGGUGCUGUGCCAGAGUCGGGAGAUGAGGUUUACCAGGGCAGGAAAGGCAGGUGACAGGACACAGAAGAGCCGCAUCUCAAUCGCUGCAGAGAAAGCAUCUGGCCAAAUUCAGCAACAAUAUAUUAUUUAUUAUUUUUUAACCCUUUCCCGUUUAAGAAAAAAAAAUUCAGCUCAUUGCCAGUAGUCAUUUAAUUUUACAUAAACAUACUCUUUGAGGCUGAAGCAAAUCUGACUGAUUUUCAAUG